GACGAACGCUGGCGGCGUGCUUAACACAUGCAAGUCGAACGGAAAGGCCUCUUUCGGGGGGUACUCGUGUGGCGAACGGGUGAGUAACACGUGAGUAACCUGCCCUUGACUUUGGGAUAACUUCAGGAAACUGGGGCUAAUACCGGAUAGGAGCUCCUGCUGCAUGGUGGGGGUUGGAAAGUCUCGGCGGUUGGGGAUGGACUCGCGGCUUAUCAGCUUGUUGGUGGGGUAGUGGCUUACCAAGGCUUUGACGGGUAGCCGGCCUGAGAGGGUGACCGGCCACAUUGGGACUGAGAUACGGCCCAGACUCCUACGGGAGGCAGCAGUGGGGAAUAUUGCACAAUGGGUGGAAGCCUGAUGCAGCAACGCCGUGUGCGGGAUGACGGCCUUCGGGUUGUAAACCGCUUUCGCUCAUGACGAAGCUUUGUGUGACGGUAGUGGGUAAAGAAGCACCGGCUAACUACGUG
rnacentral:rRNA from 1 species